GACCGCGUAGCUCAGUUGGCAGAGCAUUGGACUAGUAUUCCAAAGGUCGUAGGUUCGAUUCCCACCGUGGCCG
rnacentral:tRNA from 1 species